rnacentral:rRNA from 1 species
GGUUCAGAACGUCGUGAGACAGUUCGGUCUCUAUCUGCUGUGGGCGUUAGAAAUUUGCGUGGAUCUGACUCUAGUACGAGAGGACCGAGUUGGACUAACCUCUGGUGUAUCUGUUGUUCCGCCAGGAGCAUUGCAGAGUAGCUACGUUGGGAAGGGAUAAGCGCUGAAAGCAUAUAAGCGCGAAACCCACCACAAGAUGAGAUUUCUUUAAAGGGUCGUGGGAGAUGACCACGUUGAUAGGCUAUAGGUGUAAAGGCAGUAAUGUCAUAGC